rnacentral:snoRNA from 1 species
AACCCAUGGUAAGGGAACUUUUUCAAAAGGUCCUUGUAUCUCUCCCAUGCAUCGUAGAGUGUCUCUAAAUCCAUCUGCACAAAAGAAGAGAUAUCAUUACGUAAUUU